UACGUAGGGGGCAAGCGUUGUCCGGAUUUAUUGGGCGUAAAGAGCGUGUAGGCGGCCAGGGAGGUCCGUUGUGAAAACUCGAGGCUCAACCUCGAGACGCCGAUGGAAACCCCCUGGCUAGAGUCCGGAAGAGGAGAGUGGAAUUCCCGGUGUAGCGGUGAAAUGCGCAGAUAUCGGGAGGAACACCUAUGGCGAAGGCAGCUCGCUGGGACGUUACUGACGCUGAGACGCGAAAGCGUGGGGAGCAAACAGG
rnacentral:rRNA from 1 species